rnacentral:rRNA from 1 species
GGGUGACUGCGUACCUUUUGUAUAAUGGGUCAGCGACUUAUAUUCUGUAGCAAGGUUAACCGUAUAGGGGAGCCGCAGGGAAACCGAGUCUUAACUGGGCGUUAAGUUGCAGGGUAUAGACCCGAAACCCGGUGAUCUAGCCAUGGGCAGGUUGAAGGUUGGGUAACACUAACUGGAGGACCGAACCGACUAAUGUUGAAAAAUUAGCGGAUGACUUGUGGCUGGGGGUGAAAGGCCAAUCAAACCGGGAGAUAGCUGGUUCUCCCCGAAAGCUAUUUAGGUAGCGCCUCGUGAACUCAUCUUCGGGGGUAGAGCACUGUUUCGGCUAGGGGGUCAUCCCGACUUACCAACCCGAUGCAAACUACGAAUACCGAAGAAUGUUAUCACGGGAGACACACGGCGGGUGCUAACGUCCGUCGUGAAGAGGGAAACAACCCAGACCGCCAGCUAAGGUCCCAAAGUCAUGGUUAAGUGGGAAACGAUGUGGGAAGGCCCAGACAGCCAGGAUGUUGGCUUAGAAGCAGCCAUCAUUUAAAGAAAGCGUAAUAGCUCACUGGUCGAGUCGGCCUGCGCGGAAGAUGUAACGGGGCUAAACCAUGCACCGAAGCUGCGGCAGCGACACUAUGUGUUGUUGGGUAGGGGAGCGUUCUGUAAGCCGUUGAAGGUGGCCUGUGAGGGUUGCUGGAGGUAUCAGAAGUGCGAAUGCUGACAUAAGUAACGAUAAUGCGGGUGAAAAACCCGCACGCCGGAAGACCAAGGGUUCCUGUCCAACGUUAAUCGGGGCAGGGUGAGUCGACCCCUAAGGCGAGGCCGAAAGGCGUAGUCGAUGGGAAACAGGUUAAUAUUCCUGUACUCGGUGUUACUGCGAAGGGGGGACGGAGAAGGCUAUGUUGGCCGGGCGACGGUUGUCCCGGUUUAAGCAUGUAGGCGGAUGUUCCAGGUAAAUCCGGAACGUUACUAACGCUGAGGUGUGAUGACGAGGCACUACGGUGCUGAAGUGACAAAUGCCCUGCUUCCAGGAAAAGCCUCUAAGCAUCAGGUAACAUCAAAUCGUACCCCAAACCGACACAGGUGGUCAGGUAGAGAAUACCAAGGCGCUUGAGAGAACUCGGGUGAAGGAACUAGGCAAAAUGGUGCCGUAACUUCGGGAGAAGGCACGCUGAUGGUAGGUGAAGCGACUUGCUCGUGGAGCUGAAAUCAGUCGAAGAUACCAGCUGGCUGCAACUGUUUAUUAAAAACACAGCACUGUGCAAACACGAAAGUGGACGUAUACGGUGUGACGCCUGCCCGGUGCCGGAAGGUUAAUUGAUGGGGUUAUCCGUAAGGAGAAGCUCUUGAUCGAAGCCCCGGUAAACGGCGGCCGUAACUAUAACGGUCCUAAGGUAGCGAAAUUCCUUGUCGGGUAAGUUCCGACCUGCACGAAUGGCGUAAUGAUGGCCAGGCUGUCUCCACCCGAGACUCAGUGAAAUUGAACUCGCUGUGAAGAUGCAGUGUACCCGCGGCAAGACGGAAAGACCCCGUGAACCUUUACUAUAGCUUGACACUGAACACUGGUCCUUGAUGUGUAGGAUAGGUGGGAGGCUUUGAAGUGUGGACGCCAGUCUGCAUGGAGCCAUCCUUGAAAUACCACCCUUUAAUGGCUGGUGUUCUAACGUGGGCCCCUGAUCGGGGUUGCGGACAGUGUCUGGUGGGUAGUUUGACUGGGGCGGUCUCCUCCUAAAGAGUAACGGAGGAGCACGAAGGUCAGCUAAUCCUGGUCGGACAUCAGGAGGUUAGUGCAAUGGCAUAAGCUGGCUUGACUGCGAGCGUGACGGCGCGAGCAGGUGCGAAAGCAGGUCAUAGUGAUCCGGUGGUUCUGAAUGGAAGGGCCAUCGCUCAACGGAUAAAAGGUACUCCGGGGAUAACAGGCUGAUACCGCCCAAGAGUUCAUAUCGACGGCGGUGUUUGGCACCUCGAUGUCGGCUCAUCACAUCCUGGGGCUGAAGUAGGUCCCAAGGGUAUGGCUGUUCGCCAUUUAAAGUGGUACGCGAGCUGGGUUUAGAACGUCGUGAGACAGUUCGGUCCCUAUCUGCCGUGGGCGCUGGAGAAUUGAGGGGGGCUGCUCCUAGUACGAGAGGACCGGAGUGGACGCAUCACUGGUGUUCGGGUUGUCAUGCCAAUGGCAUUGCCCGGUAGCUAAAUGCGGAAGAGAUAAGUGCUGAAAGCAUCUAAGCACGAAACUUGCCCCGAGAUGAGUUCUCCCUGACCCUUUAAGGGUCCUGAAGGAACGUUGAAGACGACGACGUUGAUAGGCCGGGUGUGUAAGCGCAGCGAUGCGUUGAGCUAACCGGUACUAAUGAACCGUGAGGCUUAACCUU